GUGUUCUGUGCUUUCUCCGCAGUAGUGAAUUAUGACAAUGUAGUAGACACGGGUUCUGAAACAGAUGAGGAGGACAAGCUCCAUAUUGCUGAAGAUGAAGGUAUCGCCAACACUCUGGAUCAGGAAACAAGCCCAGCUAGUGUGGUGCCCAACCAUGAGUCUUCCCCACAUGUGAGCCAAGGACUGUUGCCAAGAGAGGAUGAGGAAGAUGAUAUAAGAGAAGGUGGAGUGGAACACCCCUGGCACAAUAAUGAGAUUCUGCAAGCCUCUGUCGAUGGUCCAGAAGAAAUGAAGGAAGAAUAUGACACUAUGGGGCCAGAAGCCACAAUCCAGACCACUGUUAAUAAUGGUACAGUUAAGAAUGCAAAUUGCACGUCGGACUUUGAGGAAUAUUUUGCCAAAAGGAAACUGGAUGAAGGGGAUGGCCAUGCGGUUAGCAUCGCAGAGUACCUACAGCGCAGUGACACAGCCAUUAUUUACCCAGAAGCCCCUGAGGAACUGUCUCGCCUUGGCACUCCAGAGGCCAAUGGGCAAGAAGAAAAUGACCUGCCACCUGGAACUCCAGAUGCUUUUGCCCAACUGCUGACCUGCCCCUACUGCGACCGGGGCUACAAGCGCUUGACAUCACUGAAGGAGCACAUCAAAUACCGCCAUGAGAAGAACGAGGAGAACUUUUCUUGCCCUCUUUGUAGCUACACAUUUGCCUACCGCACCCAGCUCGAGCGGCAUAUGGUGACGCACAAGCCGGGGACAGAUCAGCAUCAAAUGCUGACCCAAGGAGCAGGUAAUCGCAAGUUCAAGUGCACAGAGUGUGGCAAGGCCUUCAAAUAUAAGCAUCAUCUGAAGGAACACCUGCGAAUUCACAGUGGUGAAAAACCAUAUGAGUGCCCAAAUUGCAAGAAACGUUUCUCACACUCUGGCUCCUACAGUUCGCACAUCAGCAGCAAGAAAUGCAUUGGUUUAAUCUCUGUAAAUGGUCGAAUGAGAAACAAUAUCAAGACGGGUUCUUCUCCUAACUCUGUUUCUUCCUCUCCAACUAAUUCAGCCAUUUCACAGCUGAGAAACAAAUUGGAGAAUGGAAAACCACUUAGUAUGCCUGAACAAACAGGCUUACUUAAAAUUAAAACAGAACCACUAGAUUUCAAUGACUAUAAAGUUCUUAUGGCCACACAUGGGUUUAGUAGCGCUAGUCCUUUUAUGAAUGGUGGACUUGGAGCAACCAGCCCAUUAGGAGUUCAUCCCUCUGCUCAAAGUCCAAUGCAGCACUUAGGUGUAGGGAUGGAAGCCCCAUUACUUGGGUUUCCUACAAUAGGUAGUAAUUUAAGCGAGGUACAGAAGGUUCUACAGAUUGUGGACAACACAGUUUCCAGGCAAAAAAUGGACUGCAAGGCUGAAGAAAUCUCAAAGCUAAAGGGUUAUCACAUGAAGGAUCCGUGCUCUCAAACUGAGGAACAAGGAGUUACUUCUCCUAAUAUUCCACCUGUGGGGCUUCCCGUCGUGAGUCAUAAUGGUGCCACUAAAAGUAUUAUUGACUAUACUUUAGAGAAAGUUAACGAAGCCAAAGCUUGCCUCCAGAGCUUAACUACUGACUCGAGGAGGCCGCUCAGUAAUAUUAAGAAGGAGAAGUUGCGUACUUUAAUAGACUUGGUUACAGAAGAUAAAAUGAUUGAGAACCAUAACAUAUCCACUCCGUUUUCAUGCCAGUUCUGUAAAGAAAGUUUUCCUGGUCCCAUUCCCUUACACCAGCAUGAGCGUUACCUUUGCAAAAUGAAUGAAGAAAUCAAGGCAGUCCUUCAACCUCAUGAAAGCAUAGUUCCCAACAAAUCUGAAAUGUUUGUUGAUAAUAAAGCUCUUCUGCUGUCAUCAGUACUUUCUGAGAAAGGAAUGACUAGCCCUAUCAACCCAUACAAGGACCACAUGUCUGUACUUAAAGCAUAUUAUGCUAUGAAUAUGGAACCUAACUCUGAUGAACUACUGAAAAUUUCCAUUGCUGUUGGCCUUCCUCAGGAAUUUGUGAAGGAAUGGUUCGAACAAAGAAAAGUGUACCAGUAUUCAAAUUCCAGGUCACCAUCACUGGAAAGGACCAGUGCCAAGGUGGCGCUGGCUGCCACCAACAACACACCCACUAAAGACUCUUUAUCAGCCAGGUCUCCUGUAAAGCCUAUGGACUCCAUAACAUCACCAUCUAUAGCUGAACUCCACAACAGUGUUACUAAUUGUGAUACUCCUCUCAGGCUAACAAAACCUACCCACUUUACCAAUAUUAAACCAGUCGUUGAUAAAUUGGACCACUCAAGGAGUAAUACUCCUUCUCCUUUAAAUCUUUCCUCCACAUCUUCUAAAAACUCCCAUAGUAGUUCGUACACUCCAAACAGUUUCUCCUCUGAGGAGCUCCAGGCUGAGCCUUUGGACUUGUCAUUACCAAAACAAAUGAAGGAACCCAAAAGUAUUAUAGCCACAAAGAACAAAACGAAAGCUAGUAGCAUCAAUUUAGACCAUAACAGUGUUUCUUUAUCGUCUGAAAAUUCAGAUGAACCUCUAAACUUGACUUUUAUCAAGAAGGAGUUUUCAAAUUCAAAUAACUUGGAUAAUAAAAGCACUAAUCCAGUAUUCAGUAUGAACCCAUUUAGUGCCAAACCUUUAUACACGACCCUCCCACCGCAAAGCGCAUUUCCCCCUGCCACAUUUAUGCCACCAGUGCAGACCAGUAUUCCAGGGCUGCGACCAUACCCAGGACUAGAUCAGAUGAGCUUCCUACCACAUAUGGCCUAUACUUACCCAACUGGAGCAGCUACUUUUGCUGACAUGCAGCAAAGGAGAAAGUACCAACGGAAACAAGGAUUUCAGGGAGAAUUGCUUGAUGGAACACAAGACUACAUGUCAGGCCUAGAUGACAUGACAGAUUCCGACUCCUGUCUGUCCCGAAAGAAGAUCAAGAAGACAGAGAGUGGCAUGUAUGCAUGUGACUUAUGUGACAAGACAUUCCAGAAAAGCAGUUCCCUUCUGCGACAUAAAUAUGAACACACAGGUAUGAAUGACUUUAACUAGCUAGUUAGAGCUUCACUGCAUGCUGUACAUUUCAUAAUAUUUAAUGAGUACACUUGUGCGACAUAAGAUGUAGCAUAUGCUGAUACUUUCAACAAGGAAGAAAUAAUGCCUUUGCCUAGCUCAGUUGGACUUUUUUUCUUUGCCUGUUUAUUGGAUCGUGUGUGUAAAUAUGAAUGCAUUUGUCUUCACCUCUUUUGACUUAUCUGGAAGCUGAAUUCACAAGUUAUGUCAGAGAAUAGCUUAGUGGGUAGCUCUAUGAGAAGAUAUGGCAAUCAGAAGAUUAGGUAUCAGAAGAAUCUUGGUAUUCUUACACUGUGACUACAUUCUACUAAAACAUCUGCUAGAAAAUAAGCCAAUGAACCAGUUGUCUGCUUCAUCAAUACCCCACUAAACAACCAGCUAUUGCUGCUGUUGUUUGCCAAAUAUUUGGGAAGUGUGUAAGCACAGCCAAUAGACAGGUUCCAUGUAUGACCUGAAGCUAAGGAAACCACACUUGUACCAUCCACAAAUCCUAAAAGAGGAAGGGUAAAGGGAUGCAUAGUAUGUACAUGAAAGUUAUAUUCUAAAGGAGAUAAUGAAAUUAUCUUUGGAUAGAAAACUAAAAUAAAAAUCCUUAAAAUGUAUUACUUCAUCCCUAAUUCAUGCACUCCUAACUUUGGGAAAUGGUACAAAAUAAGGAAGAACUUGCUAACAAUUGGAGCUAUCCAAAAGUGGAAUGGGCUGCCACGGGAGGUGGUGUGUUUCCUCUCAUUGGAGGUCUUCAAGCAAAGGCUGGAUGGCCACUUGUCGGGUAUGUUGUAGAGGGAAUUCUUGUUUGGGUAUGGGUUGGACAAAUGACCACUGAUGUCCCUUCCAACUCUCAAGUUUUGUGAUUCUAAAAUUUUACGAACAUGCCCACAAAACAGCAUAUCUCUAAAGGUGUGGGCAAAAUUAAGGGAGAAGUUUUAGUGACUUUUAAUGUGGGGAGAUGAUUGUUCACCAUAUUCAUAGGUUCUUUUUGCAUUGGUGAUCCUGUGCUUUUCCAGGCUGAAUCAAGUGAAAAAGAUAAUUGAUUUAGGAUGAAUCAGAAUUUGGCUAGGGGAGAGUAUACCUGUAAGUAUAGCUUUGGUGAGAGUUUGGUCACAGAAUCAUAGAGACUUAAAGCUGGAAGGGAACUUGGGUAUCAUCUUAUUAAAAUCUCAUCCUAUACCCAAAGUCUAGAAAGGUCUAUAAUAUACUGGAAAAAGAACUAGACUUGGAGUCAAGAAAGAUAUAGGUCUAAAUCCUGCUUCCUGUCCAGUCUAAUCCAAUAAGCAUUUAUUUAAACACCUUCUACAUGCAAAACUAUGUGCUAGGUACAAUUGACUCAGAGAUAAGAUUAAAAGAAAAACUAGAGAGUAGGGGAGUGGUUUAUAACAUUUUAUGUGCUUGACCAAUGGCAAUUCACCCAACCUCUGAAGUUCAGUUUUCUUAUCUAUAAGACGGGAAUAAUCAUAUCAGGCAUCCAGACUUGUCAGGUUUGUUGUGAGGAUCAAAUUAUAUAUAGUCUUUUUCAAAUCCUAAAGCCCUAUGUAAAUGUUUUCUUUAAUUAAGAAAUAUUUUAAUAAUACCUUAAAUCUAUAUUGAACUUCAAAGUUUACAAAGUGCUUGUCUCACAACAUCCCCGUAAAGGAAGUAUGAAAAACAUUAUUAUCUACUUUUGAUAGAUGAGGAAACUGAGUCUCAGAGAGGUAGGAAUCAGGGUGCCAGUCCUUCUGACUUGGAAUUGAAGGGUUUUUUUUCCAUCACACCACACUUAUUUGACCAAGUAGUCAUACAAUUGUUCAAUGUAGUCAGAAUUAGAGCUCGUCUCCUGAUUCCAUGCUACCUUUCUAGUCCAGAAGUCUAUGCCAAUUGGGACAAGUAUGCUUUUCCUUCUUUUUUAGGAGUCUAGAUAAGAAUAGAACCUUAGAGGAAGAUGUGUGUCUGUAGCCCAAUCCCUUAUUUGGUAAAUAGGAAAAUGGAAACAUAGUAAAGUUAAGUAGCUUAUAACAUAACUAAAGUUAGCAGAACUGGAAUUCAAUUCAGUAAACAAUUCAAUUUAGUAAGUGCCUAUUAUAUACAAAUCUUUGUGCUAGGUGUUGAGGAUAUAAAUAUAUAAUGAACAGCAAUCCCUCUCUUCAAGAAGUUUACAUGCUACUGGGUUGGAGGUGGCAGGUUGGAUAAGGGUACCAUUUACAUAAAAGCAAAUAUAAUACAAGGAAAAGAUGAAGUGAGCACCAAAAAAAAACUUGGGAGGAUCAGGGAAGAAUGACUUCAAGAUGGCACCAAAAGUGAUAGAAGACUGGUGGAAGACAAAGAUGAUAAGGAGAGAAUACAUUUGUCAUGGGAGAUGGCUUUCAUGAAAUUAACAGAGAAGGAAAUGGAGUUUUGAGUUUGAGUCUAAAUGUAAACAGUUUGGACUGGAAGAAAACCUAUAGAAUCCCAUUUUUAAAGUAGCAUUCUUUUAGCUUGACCAACUGUUAUUUUUCCUGUGUCCCAAACUCUAACUGAAUAGGUGGAGAAUUCCCUGAGUAGACAGAGCAGGGAAUCACACAACCAAAUGAGAGAGAGAAUCAUAAGAUUUUCAUUUUCAAUAAAAGGUCUAAAUUUGGGUCUUCUAAGUAAAGUAUUUACCAAACAACUAGAAUUAUUUGGGGGGAAAGUAAGAAUAUUAAGUAAGGGGAAGAAAAAAUAUUAUUAAAAGUUUAAUUUUAAAUUAGAGUUAAUAACCAUAGAAUAUAUUGUACCUAAAUUUUCCCAUCUUUGUAUCUCAUUCAUAAAUAUUUUGUCAAUAUCUAAAUAUUGUAGAACCUAAUAAAUAUUAACACUUUUAGAUUAAAAAUUAAACUAACUUUUAAUAUUUUAAGUAUGUUUGGUUAUGAAAAAUCCAUUUAAUAUUUCACAAUUUAAAUUUCACUGUUUAGCAGAAGCAGUAGCAAAGACACUUAUCUGUGUCUGAAUGAUUUUAAUGCAACCAUGUACAAACAUUACCUUUUACAGCACAGCUUCUGUAAAGGUCUUCUCAAUCUGUCCUUCAUAUGUAGUAAGAUAGAGCUGACUCUCACAGCAUAGGCUGACUCCAUGGUCAAUAGUCUUAAUGAAAUUAAAAGCCAAAAAGCUGACAAGUAAAAGAUGAAGGCAAAGUUGUUUUCAAAACAAACUGUAUUUAAACAAAACAAAACAAAAAUAAAAGUUUGCUCUUUUGUGAUACUUAGAAGUAGACUUAUCAACAGGACAGUAAUUCAUCAAUUAUAAUUAGUCAAUAACAAGCCUGUUGUUAGUUUUUCAUCUUUCUGGAUUUUGGGCUUGUCUUUGUUGUUCUCUUGACCCAACAAAGAAUAAAUGUUUCUUAUUUCUGAAUCUUGGUUUCCAACAAAAUGAAGAUUGUUACACAUUUUUCUAUCAAUAAUUAGAAAUUUAGGGGGCAGCUGGGUAGCUCAGUGGAUUGAGAGCCAGGCCUAGAGACGGGAGGUCCUAGGUUCAAAUUUGGCCUCAGACACUUCUCAGCUGUAUGACCCUGGGCAAGUUACUUAACCCCUAUUACCUAGCCCUUACCACUCUUCUGUCUUGGAAGCAAUACACAGUAUUGAUUCCAAGAUGGAAGGUAAGGGUUUUUAUAAAAAAAAAAAUUUAAAAACAAUAUUUAGAAAUUUAGCCAAUUUUCUUUUUUCAUUGAAUAUCCAAAUUUUGGAUUUGUGAUUGAUAAUUGAUAGUAAUAUGUUUAUCAUUCAUAAAAAAGAUUCCUGAGAAAUUCCUAUUAAUGGAAACUAAGUCUCUAAGAUGCUAGGGCUAGCAACAAGUAAAGUUAAUAAAAUAAACAUUCAGAUAAGUAUUAACUCUAAAUUUGUCAUUACUAUGAUGCUUUGACUGAAUUCAUAGAUUAACAUUUAAAAUGUUUUCUUUUAAAAGGAGUAAGGAGGAAAUUAUGAUACAUUCUCAGAAUCCUAUGUACUUUUAUCUUUGUACUGUUGAAUUUGUUUUCCUAGAAGAUGCAAACCUGUUGUUAGUUUCCUUAGUUAUCAUCAUUCUAUUACUAAAAUUAACCAAAAAAGCAUUCAGAGAUGCCUAUUGCUGCUUUGGUUCACAUUCAGUCAUCAUUAUUGCUGAUUUUGUGAGGUUUAUGGUAGCUAGGAGAUCUGAGUUCAUUUUAUGAUAUACUGAAAGAGCGUUUGAGAUAUUUCAUUUGGUCUUUAGGACAAACCAUUUUGGAAAAUUUAAGUUAAAGUUUAUUUGUUGAAAACUAAUCUAUCAUUACCUUUUGUCCCCAGCUGUCUCUCUCAUUCUACUUGGUCCUUGUUCACAGUGAAUUUACUUUAAUCAUCCUUAAGAGAGCAACAUAAUCUUUAAUUUUUGAAAUCUAUGACUUCUUAGUUUCUUUUUCUGAGUGCAAAAAAAAAAAGAAAAAGAAAACUCUGCUAAAGGAUUGGUUUUUGCAACAUUCUGGCACCAAAAAUGUUAAUUAUCACAAAGAAAGCUUAUGAAUUCCAUGUAUGACUUCCUUUAAAAUACUAAUUUGAAAAUUCCUUUGAUCAUAUACUAUUGGGACUCAUGUAUCUACUCCACUAACUUCCUUAGGUCUUCUUUAUUCAAAAUGAGCUGAAAGCCUAGGGGUUAAGUCAAUCACUAGUCAAAUUCUUUCUUAGGUUGUACACUACUGUUUUUAUAUCCUAAACCUUCUGCCAUAUGAUUUAUUUCAAACAUCAUUCUAGCUUCCAGGUGAAUCAUCAGGCUAGAGAUUAAAGAAAAAAAAUAAGCCGCAAAAGGCCUUAAGCAUUCAGAAAUUUGUAUGCUUCUCUGAACCUUGUUCCUAUACAAAUGUAUUUCUAGGAGCUCUUGAUUUCAAUCAGGCAGAUAGCCUAAAAAGAGUAAGAGAAAAGAUAAAUGUUUAAGCCACUAUUUCUUUAAACUAGAUUAGAAGGUAUAGCAGUUGGUGAACUUUCCUAGUAUGUGAUAGGAGUCAAAUAAUUUUUCCAUUAAUAUUGCCUUUAGCCUGGUAUGUAUAAUAAUAAUUGCUGUUCACAUUUAUAUGAUAUUUUAAAGUUCACAAAUAUUUUUUGCACGAUAGUUCACUAUGAUAGAAAAAUUAUUAUCCCCAAUUGUUAGAUGAUAAGACUGAAGAAUAGAGAGUUUAAGUAACUAAUUCAGGACUAUAAGUAAGUCAACCCAAGAUUGCCUAUUCCAUGUUCUCACUUUCACAGAUUUCCUUGUGAUCUUUCCCUUUCUCCCUUUUCUUCUAGGAUCUCUCUCUCUUGCUCUCCUCCUCCUCCUCUUCUUCUCCCCAUUCUCUCCCUCCUCCCACCUCUCUCUGUACUCCUCUAAUCUCCCUUUCUCUCUCUCCUCUCUCUUCCACUCCCCCUUUCUUCCUCCCUUCCUCUUUCCUUUUAUUACAGUAUUUCUUUCCAAGUUUCCAAAUGAUUUGGAAGAAUAAAAGCUUUGUUCCUCAAUUCAUAGACUCUUAGAACUAGAAGAGACAUUAUCUAGACCAUACUCCCUCAUUUUGCAGGUGAGGAAACUGAGGCCCAGAGAAGUUAAAUGACUUGCUCAAGUUCCCAUGGAAAAAGACCACAUCAGUGUCAGAUUUGCAAGAAAGCAUUUAAACACAAGCAUCACCUUAUCGAGCAUUCACGACUUCACUCGGGCGAGAAGCCCUAUCAGUGUGAUAAAUGUGGCAAGCGCUUCUCACACUCUGGG